AUUGAACGCUGGCGGCAUGCCUUACACAUGCCAGUCGAACGGUAACGGGCCUUCGGGUGCCGACGAGUGGCGAACGGGGGAGUAAUACAUCGGAACGUGCCCGAUCGUGGGGGAUAACGAGGCGAAAGCUUUGCUAAUACCGCAUACGAUCUACGGAUGAAAGCAGGGGACCGCAAGGCCUUGCGCGGACGGAGCGGCCGAUGGCAGAUUAGGUAGUUGGUGGGAUAAAAGCUUACCAAGCCGACGAUCUGUAGCUGGUCUGAGAGGAUGAUCAGCCACACUGGGACUGAGACACGGCCCAGACUCCUACGGGAGGCAGCAGUGGGGAAUUUUGGACAAUGGGCGCAAGCCUGAUCCAGCCAUGCCGCGUGCAGGAUGAAGGCCUUCGGGUUGUAAACUGCUUUUGUACGGAACGAAAAGCCUUCUUUUAAUACAGGAGGGUCAUGACGGUACCGUAGGAAUAAGCACCGGCUAACUACGUG
rnacentral:rRNA from 1 species